GACGAACGCUGGCGGCGUGCUUAACACAUGCAAGUCGAACGGAAAGGCCCUGCUUUUGUGGGGUGCUCGAGUGGCGAACGGGUGAGUAACACGUGAGUAACCUGCCCUUGACUUUGGGAUAACUUCAGGAAACUGGGGCUAAUACCGGAUAGGAGCUCCUGCUGCAUGGUGGGGGUUGGAAAGUUUCGGCUGUUGGGGAUGGACUCGCGGCUUAUCAGCUUGUUGGUGGGGUAGUGGCUUACCAAGGCUUUGACGGGUAGCCGGCCUGAGAGGGUGACCGGCCACAUUGGGACUGCGAUACGCCCCAGACUCCUACGGGAGGCAGCAGUGGGGAAUAUUGCACAAUGGGCGGAAGCCUGAUGCAGCAACGCCGCGUGCGGGAUGACGGCCUUCGGGUUGUAAACCGCUUUCGCCUGUGACGAAGCGUGAGUGACGGUAAUGGGUAAAGAAGCACCGGCUAACUACGUG
rnacentral:rRNA from 1 species